GCUCCGUUGGCCCAGUGGAAAGGCGCUUGACUUCGAAUCAAGAGAUCAUCGGUUCGAACCCGGUACGGAGCU